rnacentral:rRNA from 1 species
UACCAGCUCUCCGAGUGGUAGGGAUGAUUAUUGGGCUUAAAGCGUCCGUAGCCGGCUUAGCAAGUUUCCUGUUAAAUUCAGCGACCUAAUCGUUGAGCCGCGGGAAAUACUACUAGGCUAGGAGGCGGGAGAGGUCGACGGUACUUCUGGGGUAGGGGUGAAAUCCUAUAAUCCCGGGAGGACCACCAGUGGCGAAGGCUGUCGACUAGAACGCGCUCGACGGUGAGGGACGAAAGCUGGGGGAGCGAACCGGAUUAGAUACCCGGGUAAUCCCAGCUGUAAACGAUGCGGGCUAGGUGUUGGGGUGGCUACGUGCCACUUCAGUGCCGCAAGGAAGCCAUUAAGCCCGCCGCCUGGGGAGUACGGCCGCAAGGCUGAAACUUAAAGGAAUUGGCGGGGGAGCACCACAAGGCGUGAAGCUUGCGGUUC